rnacentral:rRNA from 1 species
UACAGAGGGUGCAAGCGUUGUUCGGAAUUACUGGGCGUAAAGAGUGUGUAGGCGGUGCUCUAAGUUUGGUGUGAAAUCUCCCGGCUUAACUGGGAGGGUGCGCCGGAAACUGGAAUGCUUGAACAUGGGAGAGGAAAGCGGAAUUCCUGGUGUAGCGGUGAAAUGCGUAGAUAUCAGGAGGAACACCUGCGGUGUAGACGGCUUUCUGGACCAUUGUUGACGCUGAGACACGAAAGCGUGGGUAGCAAACAGG